GACGAACGCUGGCGGCGUGCUUAACACGUGCAAGUCGAACGGAAAGGCCCUGCUUUUGUGGGGUGCUCGAGUGGCGAACGGGUGAGUAACACGUGAGUAACCUGCCCUUGACUUUGGGAUAACUUCAGGAAACUGGGGCUAAUACCGGAUAGGAGCUCCUGCUGCAUGGUGGGGGUUGGAAAGUUUCGGCGGUUGGGGAUGGACUCGCGGCUUAUCAGCUUGUUGGUGGGGUAGUGGCUUACCAAGGCUUUGACGGGUAGCCGGCCUGAGAGGGUGACCGGCCACAUUGGGACUGAGAUACGGCCCAGACUCCUACGGGAGGCAGCAGUGGGGAAUAUUGCACAAUGGGCGGAAGCCUGAUGCAGCAACGCCGCGUGCGGGAUGACGGCCUUCGGGUUGUAAACCGCUUUCGCCUGUGACGAAGCGUGAGUGACGGUAAUGGGUAAAGAAGCACCGGCUAACUACGUGCCAGCAGCCGCGGUGAUACGUAGGGUGCGAGCGUUGUCCGGAUUUAUUGGGCGUAAAGGGCUCGUAGGUGGUUGAUCGCGUCGGAAGUGUAAUCUUGGGGCUUAACCCUGAGCGUGCUUUCGAUACGGGUUGACUUGAGGAAGGUAGGGGAGAAUGGAAUUCCUGGUGGAGCGGUGGAAUGCGCAGAUAUCAGGAGGAACACCAGUGGCGAAGGCGGUUCUCUGGGCCUUUCCUGACGCUGAGGAGCGAAAGCGUGGGGAGCGAACAGGCUUAGAUACCCUGGUAGUCCACGCUGUAAACGGUGGGUACUAGGUGUGGGGUCCAUUCCACGGGUUCCGUGCCGUAGCUAACGCUUUAAGUACCCCGCCUGGGGAGUACGGCCGCAAGGCUAAAACUCAAAGGAAUUGACGGGGCCCCGCACAAGCGGCGGAGCAUGCGGAUUAAUUCGAUGCAACGCGUAGAACCUUACCUGGGUUUGACAUGGAUCGGGAGUGCUCAGAGAUGGGUGUGCCUCUUUUGGGGUCGGUUCACAGGUGGUGCAUGGCUGUCGUCAGCUCGUGUCGUGAGAUGUUGGGUUAAGUCCCGCAACGAGCGCAACCCUUGUUCACUGUUGCCAGCACGUUAUGGUGGGGACUCAGUGGAGACCGCCGGGGUCAACUCGGAGGAAGGUGGGGAUGACGUCAAGUCAUCAUGCCCCUUAUGUCCAGGGCUUCACGCAUGCUACAAUGGCUGGUACAGAGAGUGGCGAGCCUGUGAGGGUGAGCGAAUCUCGGAAAGCCGGUCUCAGUUCGGAUUGGGGCCUGCAACUCGACCUCAUGAAGUCGGAGUCGCUAGUAAUCGCAGAUCAGCAACGCUGCGGUGAAUACGUUCCCGGG
rnacentral:rRNA from 1 species